rnacentral:lncRNA from 1 species
AAGUGGCGGCCAUUCAAAACACAGCGAAAAGGCUUCAUGCAGCAACAGCUUUUACAAUAUGGAAUCAAAAUUACCAUCGUGUCCAGCUGCCCAAACCAAAAAGCUCACGGAGGCGAUCGGGGUGAAUCUGCUCGUACACGAUUCCCGCAUUGUUGUGCACAUAAGGUUGGAUGCAUUCCUGGUCUACCAUUUCAAUACGCCUUGGGUUCGGGAUAUGCCCAAUCGCCUGAUCGCGGGUCGCUGUUCACGAUAGUUGUGGCCAAAUCUUAAUUGCCUCUUGAUGUCCUUGCCUUUUGCCUCUAGUGUCAAGGGGCACUUCAUGUAGAGUUGCAGCACACUCCAUGCCGCUUUUAAGAUGCUGCAGCAGCAGGCUACCAUAUCGCGGCAACCGGCCCUGUGCAGGCACCACAGCCGCAUGUACCAUUCACAAACGGCGCUGUCGUAGUUUUCGCCGGGAAGCUCUGACCGUCUUGAACGCUCGCCGUCCCAGUCCCGAUCCUGCAACCGUUUUCUCAGAUUUAUGAUGCGGCGAUAGAGCAGCGCAAUUACUUUUGCCCAAGACAACCUCAUAUACGAGGAACUCACGCCCACCAACUUUCAACGUUACAGGUUCCACGUAGAGUCUAAUGAACGUUUGAGCGUCGAAAGCAUGUGCGCCGUUCAGUUCUGGGCGUCUUUCGAGCUCUGGAAAAGGUUGCGAUUAGGGUUGGCGGCGAUGUAGUAGAAACCCGUGUCAUGAGUUUCCUGACGCUUGGCCUGAUGAUUACACUGGCCAGGUUAUUUCCCGAAACUGUUUUCAGCCGUCUUGCCGGGCUCCAAACCCUGGAGCCACCCUGAUGCCACCAAACUUGUUCCCCAUCCCCCCUUUUCGUUCUUCAUCCCCCAAGGGGGAACUUUCCCUCAGUUCAUCCCCUGAAGGGGAACUUAAGGGGACAACCCUUUAGGGAACGAUCCAUUACCCGGGUGUUAUAAUCCACCAUCAUCAUCAUUCCGUGUCUGCUAAUCGAAUGUACGUAUUUAUAUCUGCAUAAGCGAUGCCUGCUAGGUAAUGAAGCUAGU